rnacentral:lncRNA from 1 species
CGAAAGAGGCGAUGCUUUGCCUGGCCUCAGGAGCUACUCCGAUAUUGCCGAGGCUGCAAAAAAGGUAGGAUUUGAGAUUGUGAAGGAGAAGGAUCUGGCCAAGCCACCGUCUCUCCCCUGGUGGACUAGGCUUAAGAUGGGUAGAAUCGCCUACUGGAGGAACCACAUUCUCGUCAUUGUGCUGGCUGCCAUAGGCAUAGCUCCUAAAGGAACCGUUGAUGUUCACGAUAUGUUGUUCAAGACCGCUGAUUAUUUGACCAGAGGUGGGGAUUCUGGAAUUUUUUCCCCCAUGCACAUGAUUCUCCUCAGAAAACCCAAGGAGGCUCCUUCAAAAUCCUAGACAAUUUCUGGAGGUAACAUCAUGUUGCAGCAUUAAUUGUGUUCCACCUCUUGUUACUUUACCCUUCUUAAUAUUUUUUUUCCUUAAAUUUAAUUUCCAAAGUUUCUUCUUCC